GGGCUAAUAGCGCAGUUGGUAGAGCGUUCCCUUCGCAUGGGAGAGGUCAUCGGUUCAACUCCGGUUUAGUCCA
rfam:Lachancea lanzarotensis strain CBS 12615 genome assembly, scaffold: LALA0S01